rnacentral:rRNA from 1 species
AAAGAUAAAUAUUAAUAAUAGUAAUGUUUGAAUAAUUUUAUAUUAAUUAAAGUAAUUUUAUGAAAGAUAAUUUUAGUAUAUUUUAUUGAAAUAAUAAUUAGAUUUAUAGUGUAAUAGUAUUGUGAAAGAAUUUUGAAAUAGUUGAAAAUUAUUUUUUUAAAAAGUAAAUUAAUAAUUGUACCUUGGGUAUCAGGGUUUAUUAAAAAUUUUAUAUAGAAUAUAUAUUUCUCGAGUUAAAAAGAGCUAAUAUAAUAUGUAAUUUAAUGUGAUAUAUUUAUUAAUAAUAUUAUAUUGGUAAUGAAAUGUUAAUCGUUUUUUAAGAUAUCUAGUUUUCUAAGAGAUGAAUUUAAUUCAGUUUAAUUUUAGUAAUUAUUUAUUUUUUUUUGAAAUAAUUAUUAUUUUUAGAUAAUAAUUUGGGGGAUAAGCUCUUAAUUAUAAACUAUAAUUUUGUAAUUAUAUAUGUUUAAGAUUGUAGACUUUAAAUUAGUCAUCAAUUUAAUAAUGUUAUAAAUUAUUUUGUGAUAAUAUGAUUUUAUAAUAAUUUUAGUUUGUGAAUUGGAAUAAUUUAAUAAAUAAGGAAUUAUUUGAAAUAAUGAUGAAAUUAGUAUAUUAUAAUGUUAAUUAAUUUUAUAAAUUUAAUUUAUAUUAAGGAACUAGGCAAUAAUAGUAUUCGCCUGUUUAACAAAAACAUGUCUUUUAGUGGAUAAUUUAAAGUCGGGCCUGCCCACUGAUUAAUUGAAGGGCCGCGGUAUUUUGACCGUGCAAAGGUAGCAUAAUCAUUAGUUUUUUAAUUGAAGGCUGGAAUGAAUGGUUUGACGAAAUACUAACUGUCUCAAUAUAAUAAAUAAAAUUUAACUUUUGAGUUAAAAGGCUUAAAUUUUAAUAGAGGACGAGAAGACCCUAUAGAGCUUUAUAUAUUAUAUAAGUGUUUAUUGUAGUCUAUUUAUAAUAUUUGUAAAAAUGUAUUGUGUUGGGGUGACAUGAAGAUUUAUAUAACUCUUUAUUAUAAUUACAUUGAUUUAUGAAUAAUUGAUCCAUUAUUAUUGAUUUUAAGAUAAAGUUACCUUAGGGAUAACAGCGUAAUUUUUUUUAAGAGUUCAUAUCAACAAAAAAGAUUGCGACCUCGAUGUUGGAUUAAGGAAUAUAAUUGGGUGUAGAAGUUCAAUUUAUAGGUCUGUUCGACCUUUAAAUCCUUACAUGAUCUGAGUUCAAACCGGUGUAAGCCAGGUUGGUUUCUAUCCUUAUUGAAUGAAAUAUUUUAGUACGAAAGGACCAAAUAUUUGAAAUAAUUUUAAUUUAAUGAUUAUUAUU